ACCUGGCUAGCUCAGUCAGCAGAGCAUAAAACUCUUAAUAUCACGAUCAUGGGUUCAAUCCCCAAGUUGGCCG